rnacentral:rRNA from 1 species
AUUGAACGCUGGCGGCAGGCCUAACACAUGCAAGUCGAAUGGUAACAGGAAACAGCUUGCUGUUUCGCUGACGAGUGGCGGACGGGUGAGUAAUGUCUGGGAAACUGCCUGAUGGAGGGGGAUAACUACUGGAAACGGUAGCUAAUACCGCAUAACGUCGCAAGACCAAAGAGGGGGACCUUCGGGCCUCUUGCCAUCAGAUGUGCCCAGAUGGGAUUAGCUAGUAGGUGGGGUAACGGCUCACCUAGGCGACGAUCCCUAGCUGGUCUGAGAGGAUGACCAGCCACACUGGAACUGAGACACGGUCCAGACUCCUACGGGAGGCAGCAGUGGGGAAUAUUGCACAAUGGGCGCAAGCCUGAUGCAGCCAUGCCGCGUGUAUGAAGAAGGCCUUCGGGUUGUAAAGUACUUUCAGCGGGGAGGAAGGGAGUAAAGUUAAUACCGUUGCUCAUUGACGUUACCCGCAGAAGAAGCACCGGCUAACUCCGUG